GUGAACGCUGGCGGUAGGCCUAACCCAUGCAAGUCGAACGGCAGCACCGUAAGAGCUUGCUCUUACGGGUGGCGAGUGGCGGACGGGUGAGGAAUACAUCGGAAUCUACUUUUUCGUGGGGGAUAACGUAGGGAAACUUACGCUAAUACCGCAUACGACCUACGGGUGAAAGCAGGGGAUCUUCGGACCUUGCGCGAUUGAAUGAGCCGAUGUCGGAUUAGCUAGUUGGCGGGGUAAAGGCCCACCAAGGCGACGAUCCGUAGCUGGUCUGAGAGGAUGAUCAGCCACACUGGAACUGAGACACGGUCCAGACUCCUACGGGAGGCAGCAGUGGGGAAUAUUGGACAAUGGGCGCAAGCCUGAUCCAGCCAUACCGCGUGGGUGAAGAAGGCCUUCGGGUUGUAAAGCCCUUUUGUUGGGAAAGAAAAGCAGCAGGUUAAUACCCCACUGUUCUGACGGUACCCAAAGAAUAAGCACCGGCUAACUUCGUG
rnacentral:rRNA from 1 species